AAGGCAUUGCCUCAGUAACGGCGAGUGAAGCGGCAAAAGCUCAAAUUUGAAAUCUAGCACUUUCACGUGUUCGAGUUGUAAUUUGAAGAAGGUAACUUUGGUUUUGGCUCUUGUCUAUGUUCCUUGGAACAGGACGUCACAGAGGGUGAGAAUCCCGUGCGAUGAGAUGCCCAAUUCCAUGUAAAGUGCUUUCGAAGAGUCGAGUUGUUUGGGAAUGCAGCUCUAAGUGGGUGGUAAAUUCCAUCUAAAGCUAAAUAUUGGCGAGAGACCGAUAGCGAACAAGUACAGUGAUGGAAAGAUGAAAAGAACUUUGAAAAGAGAGUGAAAAAGUACGUGAAAUUGUUGAAAGGGAAGGGCUUGCGAUCACACUUGGCAUCCCCCCCCCCCCCCCCUCUGG
rnacentral:rRNA from 1 species